UUUAGCAUGGAAUAAUAAAAUAGGACGUGUGGUUCUAUUUUGUUGGUUUCUAGGACCGCCGUAAUGAUUAAUAGGGACAGUCGGGGGCAUCAGUAUUCAAUUGUCAGAGGUGAAAUUCUUGGAUUUAUUGAAGACUAACUACUGCGAAAGCAUUUGCCAAGGAUGUUUUCAUUAAUCAGGAACGAAAGUUAGGGGAUCGAAGACGAUCAGAUACCGUCGUAGUCUUAACCAUAAACUAUGCCGACUAGGGAUCGGACGGUGUUAUUUUUUGACCCGUUCGGCACCUUACGAGAAAUCAAAGUGCUUGGGCUCCAGGGGGAGUAUGGUCGCAAGGCUGAAACUUAAAGAAAUUGACGGAAGGGCACCACCAGGGGUGGAGCCUGCGGCUUAAUUUGACUCAACACGGGGAAACUCACCAGGUCCAGAAAUCUAGA
rnacentral:rRNA from 1 species